rnacentral:rRNA from 1 species
AUUGAACGCUGGCGGCAUGCCUUACACAUGCAAGUCGAACGGUAACGGGCCUUCGGGUGCCGACGAGUGGCGAACGGGUGUGCAAUGUAUCGGAACGUACCUUUCAGAGGGGGAUAACGUAGCGUAAGUUACGCUAAUACCGCAUAUUCACUGAGCAGGACAGCAGGGGAUCGCAAGACCUUGCGCUGCUUUAGCGGCCGAUAGCAGAUUAGCUAGUUGGUGAGGUAAAGGCUCACCAAGGCGACGAUCUGUAGCGGGUCUGAGAGGAUGAUCCGCCACACUGGAACUGAGACACGGUCCAGACUCCUACGGGAGGCAGCAGUGGGGAAUUUUGGACAAUGGGGGCAACCCUGAUCCAGCCAUGCCGCGUGAUUGAAGAAGGCCUUCGGGUUGUAAAGCUCUUUCGGCCGGGAAGAAAUCGUAUCAGCUAAUACCUGGUGCGGAUGACGGUACCGGCAUAAGAAGCACCGGCUAACUACGUGCCAGCCGCCGCUGUAAGAC